rnacentral:rRNA from 1 species
GAUGAACGCUGGCGGCGUGCCUAAUACAUGCAAGUCGAGCGAACAGACGAGGAGCUUGCUCCUCUGACGUUAGCGGCGGACGGGUGAGUAACACGUGGAUAACCUACCUAUAAGACUGGGAUAACUUCGGGAAACCGGAGCUAAUACCGGAUAAUAUAUUGAACUGCAUGGUUCAAUAGUGAAAGACGGUUUUGCUGUCACUUAUAGAUGGAUCCGCGCCGCAUUAGCUAGUUGGUAAGGUAACGGCUUACCAAGGCAACGAUGCGUAGCCGACCUGAGCGGGUGAUCGGCCACACGGUAACUGAGACACGGUCCAGACUCCGACGGGAGGCAGCAGUAGGGAAUCUUCCGCGAGGGGCGAAAGCUUGACGGAGCAACGCCGCGUGAGUGAUGAAGGUCUUCGGAUCGUAAAGCUCUGUUAGUAGGGAAGAACAAAUGUGUAAGUAACUAGGCACGUCUUGACGGUACCUAAUCAGAAAGCCACGGCUAACUACGUG